AAAAAGGCAAACCGUGGUUUCCCGUGCCAACGUUUAAUUGUUCGUCUUAUAUGAAAUUUUUUUUAUAAUUAGUAUUUCCAUUGUUGUUAGAUGAUAGAACAUGAUUAAUACUUUAUGCGUGACUUAUCUUUUUAAUUUUUUUUCAUAAUUUUUUCAAAUAAGACGGACGGUCAAACGUUGGACACGGAAACCAGGGUUUGUCUUUUU
rfam:Oryza glaberrima chromosome 6 Oglab06_0210_2, whole genome shotgun sequence.